rnacentral:rRNA from 1 species
GACAGAGGGGGCAAGCGUUGCUCGGAAUUACUGGGCGUAAAGGGCGCGUAGGCGGGCUGGCAAGUCGGUCGUGAAAUCCCUCGGCUCAACCGAGGAACGUCGAUCGAUACUGCUGUUCUUGAGGAUUGCAGAGGAGACUGGAAUUCCCGGUGUAGCGGUGAAAUGUGUAGAGAUCGGGAGGAACACCGGUGGCGAAGGCGGCUCGCUGGGCCAUUCCUGACGCUGAGACGCGAAAGCUAGGGGAGCGAACAGG